ACUGAAAAUCGGAGUUGUAGUCUGGAGAGGUUAUGAUUGCGAUGGAUAUGGGCCAAGUCUCCUGGAACGGAGCGCCAAGGAGGGUGACAGCCCCGUUCUUGCCCAUGUCAGUAGCUUCCAUCAGGCCUUCUACGAGUCGAGUUGUUUGGGAUUGCAGCUCUAAGCGGGUGGUAAAUUCCAUCUAAAGCUAAAUACCUGUGGGAGACCGAUAGCGAACAAGUACCGUGAGGGAAAGAUGAAAAGAACUUUGAAAAGAGAGUUAAAGAGUACCUGAAAUUGCUGAAAUGUAACCGAUGGGAGCCAGUGUCUUUCUUGGGAAAGGCGCGUGGGAGAGACUCUGACGAAAUGGCUCUUAUCAUCCCGUCUUGAAACACGGACCAAGGAGUCUAACAUGUGUGCGAGUGCUCGGGGUCAUCCCCCAGCGCGAAAUUAAUGUAAAGUUGCACUAUCGACCGACCAUGAUCCCUCGGGUGAAAGGUUUGAGUGUGAGCAUACAUGUUGGGACCCGAAAGAUGGUGAACUAUGCCUGAGUAGGGUGAAGCCAGGGGAAACUCUGGUGGAGGCCCGCAGCGAUUCU
rnacentral:rRNA from 1 species